CGGCACGCACACAGGCCCUUAAACUCUGCCUGAACUCCGAAAUCUGAGACCAAGCUGGUUUGGGAGCCACUGCUCACUUUUCUUCUUCUUCUCCCCCACCUCCUUUUUUUUUUUUUUUUUAAAGUCAUCGUUUUGUUUUCAAUUACCUCCUCCUUUGUAAGGAGGAAAAGAAAAAUCAGCAAAGUUUUGUGCGCGCGCGUGUGCGUGUCUCGCAGGCAGCUCAGGAAGAGCGAGCUGUCAAAAGCCCAGCCCAGUGUCUGGCUUUCUUGGUCCUGGAAGAGAGCGAGUGGUGCUCCCCAGCCGACGAAUUCCUCGCCCAAGCAGCUGCACGGUGAGCCCAGCGCUGGAAUCUCCCCGGGCCUUGCCUGUCCUUUCACUCUGAAAAUAUCACGCCUAAGGGGAGGGGAAGUGGUUUGGACAAAAUAAGAUUUGACCUGAGCAUCUGCCCAGAACUGAAACCAAGUGUCUGCCUCCCAGAAUUGUUGGCUUUCAAUAAAGCUCAGAUCAUUUCUCUUGCCACCUGCCCAUCUUCAAGCAUGUCUGCGCUUUACGGGCCCACCCGGAAACACCAAUCUGUUGUGAAACAGGCCAUGCAUACAGCUCCUCAGCUGGACUCUGAAAACCUGCAGAAAAGCACAUUUUCAGCUAUCUAGGCCCAUUUUUACAGAUAAGCAUUCCAAUAAACAAGGUCUGUGUUACCCUG